rnacentral:tRNA from 1 species
GAGGACGUGGUGUAACGGAGAACAUACCAGGUUUCGACCCUGAUGAUGAGGGUUCAAUUCCUUCCGUCCUCGC